CUGGUUGAUCCUGCCAGUAGUCAUAUGCUUGUCUCAAAGAUUAAGCCAUGCAUGUCUCAGUAUAAGCUUCUGUACGGUGAAACUGCGAAUGGCUCAUUAAAACAGUUAUAGUUUAUUUGAUGGUUAUUCAUUACAUGGAUAACUGUGGUAAUUCUAGAGCUAAUACAUGCGCCCAUACCCAACUUCGUGGAAGGGUAGUGUUUAUUAGAUACAGAACCAUCCCAGGCUUGCCUGGUGUUUUGGUGAUUCAUAAUAACUGAAUGAAUCGCAUGCUUCGGCGGCGAUAAAUCAUUCAAGUUUCUGACCUAUCAGCUUCCGACGGUGGGGUAUUGGCCUACCGUGGCAAUGACGGGUAACGGAGAAUUAGGGUUCGAUUCCGGAGAGGGAGCCUGAGAAACGGCUACCACAUCUAAGGAAGGCAGCAGGCGCGCAAAUUACCCAAUUCCGACACGGAGAGGUAGUGACAAGAAAUAACAAUACAGGGCAAAACUGUCUUGUAAUUGGAAUGAGUAGAAUUUAAAUCCCUUUACGAGUACCAAUUGGAGGGCAAGUCUGG
rnacentral:rRNA from 1 species